GGCAGAUGCUUGUCUGUCUGAAUUCUAACAAGAUAAUUUGCCGAAGGGGAUAAAGGUGCAAAUUAAUUUUAAAUUAAGCCAACCGAUUAAGCAAAUAAUGGUGAGAGAUGGGGUGCUGUAUUGUACUUAGAUACGAGCACAUACCAAAGAAAAAUUCCAAAUAUUAAGAUGAUUAAACAGUCUGUGUUUUCUUAGCAAGCAGAGGGUAACUUCAAAAGGCAGAAAGGCUGAUUUGCUCCAUUGUCUCUAUCCAAGGUCCUGAAAAACCUGCUUCUCUCUAUCUGAGUUCUUGCUUGAACCUGGAUUUUGCAUUGUCUUUUCUAGCAAAAUUUCCUUCUCCCUUCCAGAAACUGCACCUGACCGAACUGCACCUUUCUCCUAGCCAAUCAAAAUGUUCCUUUUGGCCAGAACUACACUCUGAAUGACUGAAUUAGGAAACAAAAGGUCCUUUGAUACCUCUGCUUU